AGGAGAAAUAGCCCCAGUGGCGGGGCAGCUCUGGAAACCUGGAUUCAGCUCCGGCAGGAACUCCGUCUGCAGGGCCUGGAGGCUCCGGGCGGGG
rnacentral:pre_miRNA from 1 species